rnacentral:misc_RNA from 1 species
AAGGCAAUUUAUUAUUCAAUUAGAAAAAAAAAAAUCUGUGAAAUUAGUGCUACAUUCAAAUAAAGCUUUUUGAGAUAUUUACAGCAGCAUUUUCAAAUCUGAACUCCGUAGAUAAAUAUUUUUAGGACAGCUUCUAAGUAAUCUUUUUUAAGGAACUUAUGGUGCUUAGUUUUAGCCCCAAAGGGCAACUGUUCAUGUUCCAAACAAAGUCCUUGAAUUAAGGUCAACUAUCAGAGAGUUUGGAAGUAAAGGGAAAGGUAAUGAUAGAAGCUAGAUAUACACACACAUACCUUAUGCACUUGCAAAAGGUUGCACUAUUUUUUUUCAAACCUCCAUCUACAAGCAGUAAACUAGCCAAGUGUUAAUGUAAAGCAUAAUCACCAAGAGUAUGCUAUUCUCUAGAUUGUGGAAUGCGAAGGGAUACAUCACUUGAAUUAAUAUGUUGUAAUAGGCUUAGUUCAUUAGCUAAUUUAAAUCGUGGUACAUGUAUGACAUUUAUUGGGAUCAUGCCAUAUGUAUUAUGCUUAUUAAUAUUGAUUACAAAGCCUCCUAGUAAGUUAUAUUGGUUGAAUAGCCAAUGGAGUAGCCAAUUUUCAUUUUAUUUUAUUUAAAUUUUAACAAUGAAGUUACUAUUAAAUGCUUAAUCGCAUUUGAAAUUGAUUAAAAAAUUUUUUAUUUUCAAAUUAUAAU